rnacentral:rRNA from 1 species
UACGUAGGGUGCAAGCGUUGUCCGGAAUUACUGGGCGUAAAGCGCGUGUAGGCGGCCAUCUAAGUCGGGCGUGAAAUCCCACGGCUCAACCGUGGAAGUGCACUCGAAACUGGAUGGCUAGAGUCCUGGAGAGGAAGGUGGAAUGCUUGGUGUAGAGGUGAAAUUCGUAGAUAUCAAGCGGAACACCGGUGGCGAAGGCGGCCUUCUGGACAGUGACUGACGCUGAGACGCGAAAGCGUGGGGAGCAAACAGG